rnacentral:rRNA from 1 species
UACGUAGGGUGCAAGCGUUGUCCGGAAUUAUUGGGCGUAAAGAGCUCGUAGGCGGUUUGUUGCGUCGGCUGUGAAAUCCCGAGGCUCAACCUCGGGUCUGCAGUCGAUACGAGCAAACUAGAGUGUUGCAGGGGAGACUGGAAUUCCUGGUGUAGCGGUGAAAUGCGCAGAUAUCAGGAGGAACACCGGUGGCGAGGGCGGCAUCCUGGACCAACACUGACGCUGAGGAGCGAAAGCCAGGGGAGCAAACGGG